rnacentral:RNase_P_RNA from 1 species
UAUUGGAAAGGAAAGUCCGGGCAACGAAGAGCAUCGUACUUCCUAACGGGAAGCCACUGAUGGAGACGUCAUCGGAGAAAGUGCAACAGAAAACAAACCGUCCCGACUUGUCGGGAUAAGGGUGAAAUGGUGAGGUAAGAGCUCACCGCUCUGAUAGUGAUAUUAGAGGCAUGGUAAACCUUACGAGUUGAAAGAUCAAAUAGGUCCUGCAAGAAGUGGCUCGCUUCGAUCUGAUUUAUAUCAGAAUGUAGGAUGGGUAGAUUGAUAGACUUCGCUAGCAAUAUCGAAGCCAGAUAAAUGAUAAGGGCCCCGAUAACAAUCGGGGCACAGAACCCGGCUUAUAGGCC